rnacentral:rRNA from 1 species
AGAGUUGAUCAUGGCUCAGGAUGAACGCUGGCGGCGUGCUUCAUACAUGCAAGUCGAACGAGAAUUUGGAGCUUGCUCCAAAGGAAAGUGGCGGACGGGUGAGUAAUACAUAGGGAAUCUGCCCUUAGCUGGGGGACAACAGUUGGAAACGACUGCUAAUACCGCAUAUGAGCUAACCUGAAAUGGUUAUCUUGAAAACUCCGGUGGCUAAGGAUGAGCCUGUGCCUGAUUAGCUUGUUGGCGGGGUAAUGGCCCACCAAGGCGACGAUCAGUAGCUGGUUUGAGAGGAUGAUCAGCCACAAUGGGACUGGGACACGGCCCAUACUCCUACGGGAGGCAGCAGUAGGGAAUUUUGCGCAAUGGGCGAAAGCCUGACGCAAGCAACGCCGCGUGUGUGAUGAAGCCCCUAGGGGUGUAAAACACUGUCAGUAGGGACGAAUUUUGACGGUACCUACAGAGGAAGCACCGGCUAACUCCGUGCCAGCAGCUGC